rnacentral:lncRNA from 1 species
AGUAGACUUAGGGAGUCACACAGAGUAUCAGGUGCUAGGUAACCAAGAUCCAGGCCCCCCCGGGAGCCUAACUUCCUUAAGAAAUAGGAAUGGGGCAUAUCCUUUUGGCUUGAGGCCAAGACCACUGUCUCUCUGUGCUGCCAUGACUAGACCAAGAACUGGGGACCCUGACACCCAACUUCCCCACCUGUGUAUAAGGUCACUCACUGCAGCUCAGGCAGGUGGCGGGUGUGCUAUCCCUUGGAGAGGGCAUCUGGAGACCAGGCAGGCUGACUUCUCGGCUGAGACCUUGGCAAGGCAAGAGAAAGCCACAUACACCAGCGAGACCAGCUUCAGUGAGACAGCUUGCCUAUGCAUUCGCUAUCCCACAUCCUUCCCAGGGGAGGAGCCUGUGCCCAGAGUACCCCAAAUGCCCACCCCAGGGCUUCCCUGAUGAGACAGUCAGUGGCUUCUCCCUGCCAGUUUGUCACCUGGUGUACACUCACUAGGUAAGUGCUGAGCCGGCUGUGAUAAUGUGAUAAUGUCACUGUCCAAGGAUGCUCACAGCUCAGGGUUCUUGUCCACACAGCCUGCAGGAGCUGAUGGCCUCUGCUCUGUGUUUGCUGUGAGCUGACUCUGGGCAGUGUGGCCUGUGUCUUGCUCACUUGCUUCCGAUUUGCCUUUCCUUUUAUACUGACAGAAAUAAUCAGUCCUGCUCACCUGCAAAACCGUUCCAGAUAGGGUCACAGGUCACCGUCCAACAUGAGGACUGGGAGCUGAGAGUGGGAGCUGAGAGUGGGAGCCGAGCCUGCCUCCAGCCUGAUUUCUUCCAAAGCCCCUGUACCUUUCUGUCCCUUCCCCUGCACUCUCUCUGCUUAUCUGGAGCACCUGCAGUAUCUUGCUAGCCUCUUCAGAGAUAGGAAGCCUGGCUUAAAAAGUCAGCGCUGACUGGAGCCACCAGGCACCAGAGUGCCCUCUAGCCCACUCUGCAGAGGAUCGCUGUUCCUGCCCAUCUGGUAUUUGUAUCCCAACCCCCUCACGUUGGCCUUGAAAAAUGAAAGACCUUCAGCAAAGCAGUAACCAGACCUGUGUCCAGUGCCUUCUCUGCAAACAGAAAAAUAUGUUUGCCAUGUACGUGUGACUCCGUGGGCUGCUAAAGUAUUUAACACCGGAUAAGUGAUAACUGAGAAGUAUU